GACAGAGGGUGCAAACGUUGUUCGGAAUUACUGGGCGUAAAGCGCGUGUAGGCGGCUUUGCAAGUCGGGUGUGAAAUCCCACGGCUCAACCGUGGAAGUGCACUCGAAACUGCAAGGCUAGAGUCCUGGAGAGGAAGGUGGAAUGCUUGGUGUAGAGGUGAAAUGCGUAGAGAUUUGGAGGAACACCAGUGGCGAAGGCGACUUUCUGGUCUGUAACUGACACUGAGGCGCGAAAGCGUGGGGAGCGAACAGG
rnacentral:rRNA from 1 species